rnacentral:misc_RNA from 1 species
AACUGAUACUACCUGCGGGAACCUGCGGAGGGAUCAUUAGAGGGUUGCAAAACUCCCUAAACCUCGCGAACGUACCUCUGUCGUUGCUUCGGCGGGCAGCCCCCGGCGGGGCUCGCGGCCUGUGAAGGCGCCCGCCGGAGCCCCCUAGACUCUUGCGUUAGGCGGCCUCUCUGAGUUGUGGCGAAUAGGUUAAAACUUUCAGCAAUGGAUCUCU